rnacentral:rRNA from 1 species
UACAGAGGUCUCAAGCGUUGUUCGGAUUCAUUGGGCGUAAAGGGUGCGUAGGCGGCGCGGUAAGUCGGGUGUGAAAUCUCGGAGCUUAACUCCGAAACUGCAUUCGAUACUGCCGUACUUGAGGACUGGAGAGGAGACUGGAAUUUACGGUGUAGCGGUGAAAUGCGCAGAUAUCAGGAGGAACACCGAUGGCGAAGGCAGGUCUCUGGGCAUUAACUGACGCUGAGGAGCGAAAGCAUGGGGAGCGAACAGG